CAGCCAUUACUCAGAAAAUGUGUGCUAGUUUUCUUUGAUGAUAUACUCAUCUACUGUAACAUCCCAAAAUUUCAAAUUCUUACAUGUGCAUUGCAUCCAUGAGCAUUAUGCCACAAUUGCAUAUUUGAAUUCAAAUUUGAAUCUCAAAAGGCUUUAAAAGUUUUUAUUUCAAUUUAAACCCUAGGGUUUACACCCAUUUGAGCUUUGGAUCUUCAAACCAAUAGGGUUUAUUUAUAAAAGGGGUUAUUUCAUAAAUAAGCUAUCCCAUAAUUUUUGGAUAAUUAUUUGGAGUUGAAAAACUAUUUUAUUUAAAUAGUUAUAUAGCCCUAAAGGCAUUUAUAGGGAAAAUGUAUUUUAAUAUAUUUUAUUUUGAGGGGAAAUUACUCCCAAAAGUUGAAUCAUGAUAAAACAUGAUUUUACAAAUUUUCUGGAAUUUAUUUGGGCCAAUUCGGAGUUAAAAAUCAAAAGAUAUCAAAGAAAUGAGAAAAAGGAAAAAAAGAAAAGGCUAAAAGAAAAAAAAGGGAAGAAAACCGGACCGGCCCGGCCAAAUGGGCCGAACCGGCCCAGUCCCGACCGCGCCCGAACCGGCCCCGCGCGCGCCGCCCGCACCGAGCCGCUGACUGGCGCGCCGCCCGCCCCGAGCCACUCUCAACCUAUAGAAUCUUUUGGCACAGUUUAAAUUUGAUUUGAAUAUUUGAAUCACAGUCAAUUUACAGAAUAGGGUUUAAUACCAUUUAAUUCAUAACUAAUUAUUUAGAAGUCCUUUUUAGUUGAAACCAAUGCUUAGGAUUAGAUGAUCACCCAAAUAAAACAAAUCAAAUCAUGUCACAUGUUCUGCAUUGCAUCAUGGCGUACUCUUUUUCAUUUGAUUGUAUUGUAUGUUUAUGUAUGUAUUGUUUAGUUUUCUCGGAGAGCGAACUGUGUGAUUGUGAAGAGUGCUUGAAUACCAACUGCUAUCAAGGCA
rnacentral:lncRNA from 1 species